rnacentral:rRNA from 1 species
AUGAUCGGCGAGGAAUCGGGAUGCGUCUACUUCAAUGGGUCUCUGCAUCUGGCCGUCUGCCAUCCGGCGGUCAAGGUGGACCGGGAGGGAGUGGUACGCUCCAUGGUCACUUUUGACGCAGAGGGGGAAACCUGGAGGAGGAUCCGUAUGCCGAACACCAGCAACCACGGUUUCUUCGGGCUGUCGCGGGGGCGCCUAUACACCGCGCGUGUAGAAAAUCAAGGUAAAUGCCGGCUCUGGGUCUGGGUUCUCGAGGAUCAUGCUACCGGGCUGUGGACCCUGAGGUGUACUGCCAGCAUUCUUCAACUGCUAGGAAGCCCUUGCCGUGCACCCAACGAGUUCUACCAGCCGGUUGCGAUCCAUCCAGAGUGCAAUAAUCUGAUAUUCCUUCAAGAUGUGGCGCCGGAAGCAUUGCUUAUGUCCUACAAUAUGGACACCGGUGAACUGGAUGUUGUCUGCUCUCUUGGAGACCGCUGGGCGCAAAGAUUUCACCCGUACACUCCCUGUUUUGUGGAGAGGCCGCCCGUUCCUCCGUGA